UAUUGGGACUAAUAGUAAUCCUUUAACUUGUCUUGGACCAACUUGUGGGCCUGCUCACACAUUGCGUUCGGUUUCUGUGUUUUCUUUGCUGUAUCCUAUAGCUCCUCUAUAUCUAUCUGAGUUAUGCAACAUGGUAAAUUAAGAGCCCUAAAAUGCAGAGUCAGAGUAGCUUAGGGGGAGAAAGGAGAACGCAGAACAACGUGGUGUAUCUACCGGAGGAAUUGAUAAUUGAAAUUUUACUGCGGUUGCCGGUGAAAUCUCUUCUCCGUUUCAAACGCGUGUGUAACUCAUGGCUUUCCCUCAUCUCUGAUGGUAACUGAGUGAUGUCUAUCAUGUUCCUGGUUUGAAGAAAAAUCUCAUUUCUGUCUCACAAAUCACCAGCUCAGGCAAGUUCUCCAUAUUUAUUCGAGGUUCUGGGUAUGAUCCAUCAACAGAUUACUAUUUGGUGGUGGUUUUAGCAUCCUAUUCUCGACAUUAAUCUCAGCGUCAGCAAGAUGCUAUUUGUCUACAUCUGUUCCUAACACGAAGUUGGUUCGUACUUGAAUGGUAUCAUUCAUUGGUUGGCCUUUUCUUUUGAAGACAACAGAACAUAGAUUAUUUUUGUCAGGUACCUUAUCAGUUGAUUUUGAGGACUUCAACUUUAAACUUUGUAAUUUGGGUGGUGUACUUGGAGAAUCGCUCAGUCCAUGUGUUGUGUGAUCGAACCAUUAUACAUAAAUAUGGGUGAUGAAAGAAUACAAAGUGCUGUCUUCUUGGACCAAGACUAUUGAUGUGUCUACCAGUAACAUUCCUAUUGGGUGCUUGUUCCAAUAUGCUCUACAACAAGAGAUGAUAUUAGCGAAACUUAUGAAAGAAAUGGAUUGGUGAAAUUUAAUAACGAGGAACAGCUUCUAGAACAUCAAUCCUAUUAUUAUGAUGAUGAUGAUGAUGAAAAUGUAUCCGGGGUGACCAUACAGAUGAAACUACUAUUCUUGGAACUCAGCUUCUCUUUUUAAUUAAUAAAGAUUGAAGUCGCUCUUAUUUAUUUAAAA